rnacentral:rRNA from 1 species
AUUGAACGCUAGCGGGAUGCCUUACACAUGCAAGUCGUACGGAGUGGCGAACGGGUGAGUAAUGUAUCGGAACGUGCCCAGUAGCGGGGGAUAACUACGCGAAAGCGUAGCUAAUACCGCAUACUAUUGGAGCGGCCGAUAUCGGAUGAGCUAGUUGGUGGGGUAACGGCUCACCAAGUCGACGAUCCGUAGCCGGGUUGAGAGGACGACCAGCGAAACUGGGACGGAGAGACAGCCCAGAUGCAUACGGGAGGCAACAGUGGGGAAUUUUGCACAAUGGGGGAAACACUGAUCCAGACAUCCCGCGUUGGCGAUGAAGGCCUUCGGGUUGUAAAGCACUUUUGGCAGGAAAGCGGUACCUGCAGAAUAAGCACCGGCUAACGACGUGCCAGCAGCCGCGGUAAUUC